GGGAUCCACUACCCUGGAAGAAAAAAAAAAAAAAAAAAAAGCGUUCAUUUGGGAUGCAGCCCUGGAUUUUUCUACUCAUGCAUUGGGAUCUCCACCAUAAGAACAGACUCACAGGCCUGCAAGAGACCCUUUUCCAUCCAAGUAACACGAUCACAACCCUUCUUGCUGACGCAGAAUUUUGUCAUCUGUAAAGCACUUUCAUAUAUUAUUAAUCCACAUGUUAUUCCUUUUGUCCCUCAAACAAUUUCUGAACUUGUGUGCACAGGGUAGAUAAAAUACGAGAUGCCAGUUACAUUUGAAUUUCAGAUCAACAAUGAAUAAUAUUGUAUGAAAGAAACACCAAUCUCAGAGAAGAAAAGAUUGUAAUUGAGCUCACAUCGUAACUUGGCAGCAGAACCAGGCCUGGAACUCAUUUUUCUUCUAGAUGAGGCAUUCCUGACUCAGAUGCUCAGCUUUGAGUGACGAGCAAGCAGCAGGUGGGGCGGAUGUGGUCCCUGAGCUGGGAGCUGGUGCCCCGGAUCACUGAGCUUUAACCUCCGCACAUCAUUACUAUCUUCACCCAGACUGUCAUCUUCUCCAGCCUGAAGGUCCUGCGGUCCCCAGUCCGUGGCUUAGAGAUAAACAGCUCUCCACUAGGCCCCGGAACUGGGGGUGAAAUGGCCCCCAGGGAGCAUCUGGUCCAGUCUCCUUAGCAAGCUCUGUUCCAGCAUCCUCUUCAGAUGGGACUACAGUCUGCCUCUGUGCGCUUCCGCCCGCUGGGUCCCUUCUUCUCCUCCUGCAGACCCUGGUAGGAGGCGGCCCAGAUGGCACCGUAUGUGAAACUGCCGAGUCAGGCUGGAACCCCAAUCUGCACACAGGCCAGCCAAGCUCUCUCCCCUGCCAGGCCCUUGGGCAGAGCCCUCCGAAGAGAAAAAUGUUACAACUGAAUGAAGGAAGCACAAGGGCAGCUCUGGGGCAUGGGGGUAGGAGGGAGUCUUAGAUGGAUUCCCUUACACAUGCCCAUAUGGUUCUCUGCCCUGAGCAGAGAGCACAAAGGCCUUUGAGGCUGCCCUCUUGGAGCUUCCUUUCCCGUUGGGGAGUCCGUUAAAGGAAAUCAGAUGAUCGUGGGAAAUUGCUACGAAAAAAACACGCUAGGGACGAGUUGAACAGUGACUCGGGGCCAACAUGACAUCUCAGAAAAGAGGCGAGACCAGAAGGAGGGCAAGGAGGAAGUUAGAUGGCAAGUCCAUCUCUGGGACAGAGGAACAGAAGAGCCAGCAUGCGGAGGGCACGAUGAAUGAGGGGAAGAGGGUAGGAAAUAAAAUCUGGGAGGAGCCUGUGGUCUGCACCACGACCUACUGUGCUGUGCUUGGCCCAAGAAGAAGUCAUGGCAUGAUCCCAGUCCCCAAGGAGCAGAGCUACAGCAAAGCAGAAAUCACAGCAGCAUCCUGCUGGUACCUGUCAGGACCGGGUGCUCUCAGGCGCCUGGCUAGCCUGGGGUCACGGGGGCUACUGUCUGACUCCUGCUCCUACCCAGCUUUCCAGUUCAACAGCAGACAUCCAUCCACCUGGGCUUUCUGCCUAGGCCACCAUGUCAGGAGGGUUCCUCUGCUUCUCCCCCAGGGAACUCGGCGCUCCUGGGGCAGCCACACAGGCCAGAGGCAACCAGAGAACGCUGUUCUCAAAGUUUCUGAGAAAGGCUAGACUCUGAGCUUCACCUCCUUCGUGGGGCUCCUUCCCCGGCUCUCAGAGUCUUGUCGGGGACCCUUCACUGUCUUCUCCAGUCCGACUAGUUCUCAGGGUCAGUGAUGACAAGACGGUUCACCCAGGAGGGAUCGGUGGCACCAUGCCCUCUCCCAGGGAGUCCUGUAUUUUUUCAGAAGUCAAAAGUCCUGAGUGAAAGAAAUAUACCAAAACUUAAUUUUGGUAAUCUGCCCUCCAGGUGGGCACGGGAGGGAGCACCUGUGGAGGUACCAGGUGUAUGGCAGGGCCCUGCCUGCCUGCAGCUGGGGCUUCUGGCUCCAGGCUCCAGCGUUCACUCCACCAGGCUAUGUGGCCUUCUUCCGGUAGGACAUUUACUCCACCCACCACAGGCAUCUGACUCUCCGGAAUUUGUAGGGUCUGCACUAAUGGCAGGAGUCUGACUCCUGUGGAAGGGUGGGGUAGUCCCAAAUAAGUGGACAGUCAGAGAACUGGGUAUCAGUUGAGGAUGUUCUCAUGGAAAAGUCUAGCCCCUUCCAGAAAGUUCUGUCUGGCUCAGCAAAUUGUCUUGUUGUCUCUUUGGCACUGCGUCUGUAUUUCUUACCCAUUUCAGACCAGGAGAGAACACAUGGGCAAUCUCUGCGAUUUGGUUUUAUCUCUCCUUGGGAAUGAUCUAACCUUAAGCUACAAGGCCAAGAAAACCUAUUCCCACCCUUUGGUCCUUCAGUCUGCUUCUAGGAAUGUGUUGCAAGGAAAUACUUCCAAAGAUUGUUUUCGAAGCUUGUUUUCAUAAAGGUUGAUAGUAUUACAUACAACAGCAGAAAGUUGGAACUACCCCAGUGCCAAAGGACAGGUGGAAGGACAAACUGGCCCAUCCACUUGAAGGAAUAUUAUGACAAGCCUUACAAAUGACAAAUAUAAAUCUUGUUAAGACACAGAAAAACACGUAUGAAAGAACGUCCGGUGACUAUAUGAGAAAUCAAAACUGCACAGGUCUAUCAAUUUCUUCCCCAGAGGGCUAUACCUAAAAACUGGAAGAGCUCACGGAAAUUUUAAAUACAACUUAAAUAAAGCACAUCUCUAUUUUGUGGAUA